rnacentral:pre_miRNA from 1 species
AGGGGGAGGCCGAAUCUUGGGCUGUGACCCAGCGCCCUGUGCUCCGGGUUCUGUGCUAUUGGAUUCGCUCUCCCAGCCAUGCAGCCACCU